UACGGAGGGUGCGAGCGUUGUCCGGAAUCACUGGGCGUAAAGGGCGCGUAGGUGGCUCCGUGAAGCGUGCGGUGAAAGUCCGAGGCUCAACCUCGGAUCGGCCGUGCGGACUCGCGGGCUCGAGCGUUGAGAGGCGGGUGGAAUUCCGGGUGUAGCGGUGGGAAUGCGUAGAGAUCCGGGAAGAACACCGGUGGCGAAGGCGGCCCGCUGGG
rnacentral:rRNA from 1 species